GGAGCUAUAGCUCAGUGGUAGAGUGCAUGCCUAGUAUGCACAAGAGUCCUGGAUUUAAUCCCCAGUACCUCUA
rnacentral:tRNA from 1 species